CGCACAUUGCGCCCUUUGGUAUUCCGAGGGGCACGCCUGUUCGAGCGUCAUUUAAACAAUCAAGCUUAGCUUGGUCUUGGGCGCGGUCGAGUGACCCGUCCGCAACCCGUUGGCGGUGCAGUCCGGCUUCAAGCGUAGCAGUAAUUUCGCUUCAGGAGUCCGCGGCGGUGCCCGCCAGGCAAUGGCCACUUCUAAAGUUUGACCUCGGAUCAGGUGGGGAUACCCGCUGAACUUAA
rnacentral:misc_RNA from 1 species